rnacentral:misc_RNA from 1 species
CGAAAGGAGUAUUCGUACUCUUCAACCCUUUGUGAACUUACCUUUUGUCAGUUGCUUCGGCGGGAGGCCCCUGGGAGGGGCCCCGGGGCCCGGUCCUGAGCCGGGCUCCCGCCGGAGGAGCGCAAACCUAAACUCUUUGUUGUACCUCAGUGGAAACUCCGAGUAAAAAAAUAAAAAACAAGUUA